UACGGGGGGGGCAAGCGUUGCUCGGAAUUACUGGGCGUAAAGGGUUCGUAGGUGGCUCGCUAAGUCAGACGUGAAAUCCCUCAGCUUAACUGGGGAACUGCGUCUGAGACUGGCAGGCUCGAGUGCAGGAGAGGAACGCGGAAUUCCAGGUGUAGCGGUGAAAUGCGUAGAUAUCUGGAGGAACACCGGUGGCGAAGGCGGCGUUCUGGACUGCAACUGACACUGAGUGAACGAAAGCCAGGGGAGCAAACGGG
rnacentral:rRNA from 1 species